GAUGAACGCUGGCGGCGUGCCUAAUACAUGCGAGUCGAGCGAACAGACGAGGAGCUUGCUCCUCUGACGUUAGCGGCGGACGGGUGAGUAACACGUGGAUAACCUACCUAUAAGACUGGGAUAACUUCGGGAAACCGGAGCUAAUACCGGAUAAUAUAUUGAACCGCAUGGUUCAAUAGUGAAAGACGGUUUUGCUGUCACUUAUAGAUGGAUCCGCGCCGCAUUAGCUAGUUGGUAAGGUAACGGCUUACCAAGGCAACGAUGCGUAGCCGACCUGAGAGGGUGAUCGGCCACACUGGAACUGAGACACGGUCCAGACUCCUACGGGAGGCAGCAGUAGGGAAUCUUCGGCAAUGGGCGAAAGCCUGACGGAGCAACGCCGCGUGAGUGAUGAAGGUCUUCGGAUCGUAAAACUCUGUUAUUAGGGAAGAACAAAUGUGUAAGUAACUAUGCACGUCUUGACGGUACCUAAUCAGAAAGCCACGGCUAACUACGUG
rnacentral:rRNA from 1 species